AUGAACGCUGGCGGCGUGCCUAAUACAUGCAAGUCGAGCGAACGGACGAGAAGCUUGCUUCUCUGAUGUUAGCGGCGGACGGGUGAGUAACACGUGGAUAACCUACCUAUAAGACUGGGAUAACUUCGGGAAACCGUAGCUAAUACCGGAUAAUAUUUUGAACCGCAUGGUUCAAAAGUGAAAGACGGUCUUGCUGUCACUUAUAGAUGGAUCCGCGCUGCAUUAGCUAGUUGGUAAGGUAACGGCUUACCAAGGCAACGAGGCAUAGCCGACCUGAGAGGGUGAUCGGCCACACUGGAACUGAGACACGGUCCAGACUCCUACGGGAGGCAGCAGUAGGGAAUCUUCCGCAAUGGGCGAAAGCCUGACGGAGCAACGCCGCGUGAGUGAUGAAGGUCUUCGGAUCGUAAAACUCUGUUAUUAGGGAAGAACAUAUGUGUAAGUAACUGUGCACAGCUUGACGGUACCUAAUCAGAAAGCCACGGCUAACUACGUG
rnacentral:rRNA from 1 species